rnacentral:rRNA from 1 species
AAGGCCUUCGGGUUGUAAACCACUUUUGUCAGGGAAGAAAUUGGCCAGGUUAACACCUUGGCUAGAUGACGGUACCUGGAGAAGAAGCCCCGGCUAACUUCGUG